GGCUGCAAUAUAACAAAGAGUGAAAAAUGUAAGGGGGUCUGAAUACUUUCCGUACCCACUGUAUAUAAAUGUAACAAUAUAUAUACACACACAUAUUAUGUAAACAAACUUUUAUGUUAGAUGCGAUUAAUCUAUACACACCAUUUUUCAAGUAAAAAUCCUGAAAAAAAAAUCAGUUUCCACAAAAAUAUUAUGCAGCACAACUGUUUCAACAUUGAUAAGAAAUGUUUCUUGAGCACUAAAUCAGCUUAUUAGAAUGAUUUCUGAAGGAUCAUGUGACACUGAAGACUGAAGUUUUACAGUAUUUUUGAUCAGGCCUGGGUGAGUAAAAGAGACUUCUUUCAAAAACAUUUACUGACCCCAAACAUUUUUAAAUGUAAAUAUAUUUAAAUUUUUUAGACUAUUUUCCACACAUUUCUAUAUAUUUAUCUCUUCCUACAAAUACUAAACACAUGUUGUCUAAACACAUCUUUCACAGAUUCUGUUAAACUUGCGGUUUCUUUAUUUACCUGACCCCAAGGCCUCUAUACGUGAUGCAGAUCAUCAGCUCUCCAAUUUGUUCUGUGGGCCGGCUUUACACUCACUCAACUGGAAAGGCCCUGGAGCAUGUACACAUCUGAUUGGUUUUUCGGCUGUCAGCGGGAUACUGAGAGCGUACCUCUGUGUGAAGUCUGAGGUUUUGACUGAGAUGGAGUAACCUUUCAGAUGUUCAGUAACAUGUCAUGGACAUUUCUGGAAAGAGUUAAGAGUGAGAGGAUUUCUGUUGACUAUGAUUACUAUGAUCGUAUGAAUAUGAUGGACAAGGGGAAUUGACAGUAUCAAUAUUUUUGUAUGAUGUCCAUAGCAAGGUCAAAUACACUAACGCAUAUAAACUACUCUUCAUAAGUUUGGGAUUAGAACGAUUUUUUUUGUUUUUGUUGUUUUUGAAAUAAGUAUUUAAUGUUCACCAAGGCUGCGUUUAUUUGAUUAAAAAUACAGUAAAAUCAGUAAUAUUCUGAAAUAUUACAAUUUAAAAUAUCUAUCUAUGCUUCUGUUUAGUUAUCUCAUAUGCUUACAAUGUAGACAGGGCAUUAUUGUUGCCAAUAAGAUAAAUCCUGUAACUACUGUUGAAGUCCUAUGAAGGAUCACUGCCAAAUAAAAUAUUGAUUGAUUUUA